rnacentral:rRNA from 1 species
GACGAACGCUGGCGGCGUGCCUAAUACAUGCAAGUCGAACGCAUUUUCUUUCACCGUAGCUUGCUACACCGAAAGAAAAUGAGUGGCGAACGGGUGAGUAACACGUGGGUAACCUGCCCAUCAGCGGGGGAUAACACUUGGAAACAGGUGCUAAUACCGCAUAAUUCCAUUUACCGCAUGGUAGAUGGGUGAAAGGCGCUUUUGCGUCACUGAUGGAUGGACCCGCGGUGCAUUAGCUAGUUGGUGGGGUAACGGCCUACCAAGGCUGCGAUGCAUAGCCGACCUGAGAGGGUGAUCGGCCACACUGGGACUGAGACACGGCCCAGACUCCUACGGGAGGCAGCAGUAGGGAAUCUUCGGCCAUGGACGCAAGUCUGACCGAGCAACGCCGCGUGAGUGAAGAAGGUUUUCGGAUCGUAAAACUCUGUUGUUAGAGAAGAACAAGGAUGAGAGUGGAAAGUUCAUCCCUUGACGGUAUCUAACCAGAAAGCCACGGCUAACUACGUG